rnacentral:rRNA from 1 species
CUGGCGGCGUGCCUAAUACAUGCAAGUCGAACGAGUUCUUGUUGAUGAUCGGUGCUUGCACCAAGAUUCAACAUGGAACGAGUGGCGGACGGGUGAGUAACACGUGGGUAACCUGCCCUUAAGUGGGGGAUAACAUUUGGAAACAGAUGCUAAUACCGCAUAGAUCCAAGAACCGCAUGGUUCUUGGCUGAAAGAUGGCGUAAGCUAUCGCUUUUGGAUGGACCCGCGGCGUAUUAGCUAGUUGGUGAGGUAAUGGCUCACCAAGGCGAUGAUACGUAGCCGAACUGAGAGGUUGAUCGGCCACAUUGGGACUGAGACACGGCCCAAACUCCUACGGAAGGCAGCAGUAGGGAAUCUUCCACAAUGGACGCAAGUCUGAUGGAGCAACGCCGCGUGAGUGAAGAAGGCUUUCGGGUCGUAAAACUCUGUUGUUGGAGAAGAAUGGUCGGCAGAGUAACUGUUGUCGGCGUGACGGUAUCCAACCAGAAAGCCACGGCUAACUACGUGCCAGCAGCCGCGGUAAUACGUAGGUGGCAAGCGUUAUCCGGAUUUAUUGGGCGUAAAGCGAGCGCAGGCGGUUUUUUAAGUCUGAUGUGAAAGCCCUCGGCUUAACCGAGGAAGCGCAUCGGAAACUGGGAAACUUGAGUGCAGAAGAGGACAGUGGAACUCCAUGUGUAGCGGUGAAAUGCGUAGAUAUAUGGAAGAACACCAGUGGCGAAGGCGGCUGUCUGGUCUGUAACUGACGCUGAGGCUCGAAAGCAUGGGUAGCGAACAGGAUUAGAUACCCUGGUAGUCCAUGCCGUAAACGAUGAAUGCUAGGUGUUGGAGGGUUUCCGCCCUUCAGUGCCGCAGCUAACGCAUUAAGCAUUCCGCCUGGGGAGUACGACCGCAAGGUUGAAACUCAAAGGAAUUGACGGGGGCCCGCACAAGCGGUGGAGCAUGUGGUUUAAUUCGAAGCAACGCGAAGAACCUUACCAGGUCUUGACAUCUUUUGAUCACCUGAGAGAUCAGGUUUCCCCUUCGGGGGCAAAAUGACAGGUGGUGCAUGGUUGUCGUCAGCUCGUGUCGUGAGAUGUUGGGUUAAGUCCCGCAACGAGCGCAACCCUUAUGACUAGUUGCCAGCAUUUAGUUGGGCACUCUAGUAAGACUGCCGGUGACAAACCGGAGGAAGGUGGGGAUGACGUCAAAUCAUCAUGCCCCUUAUGACCUGGGCUACACACGUGCUACAAUGGAUGGUACAACGAGUUGCGAGACCGCGAGGUCAAGCUAAUCUCUUAAAGCCAUUCUCAGUUCGGACUGUAGGCUGCAACUCGCCUACACGAAGUCGGAAUCGCUAGUAAUCGCGGAUCAGCACGCCGCGGUGAAUACGUUCCCGGGCCUUGUACACACCGCCCGUCACACCAUGAGAGUUUGUAACACCCGAAGCCGGUGGCGUAACCCUUUUAGGGAGCGAGCCGUCUAAGGUGGGAC